rnacentral:tRNA from 1 species
GCAGGGGUACCCGAGUGGACAAAGGGGGUGGACUCAAGAUCCUCUGGUGUAGGCCUUCAAGGGUUCGAAUCCCUUCCCCUGCA